rnacentral:rRNA from 1 species
GAUGAACGCUGGCGGCGUGCUUAACACAUGCAAGUCGAACGAUGAAGCCCAGCUUGCUGGGUGGAUUAGUGGCGAACGGGUGAGUAACACGUGAGUAACCUGCCCUUAACUCUGGGAUAAGCCUGGGAAACUGGGUCUAAUACCGGAUAGGAGCGUCCACCGCAUGGUGGGAGUUGGAAAGCUUUAUCGGUUUUGGAUGGACUCGCGGCCUAUCCGCUUGUUGGGGGGGUAAUGGCUCACGAAGGCGACGACGGGUAGCCGGCCUGGGAGGGUGACCGGCCACACUGGGACUGAGACAGGGCCCAGACUCCUACGGGGGGCAGCAGUGGGGAAUAUUGCACAAUGGGCGCAAGCCUGAUGCAGCGACGCCGCGUUAGGGAUGACGGCCUUCGGGUUGUAAACCUCUUUCGGUAGGGAAGAAGCGAUAGUGACGGUACCUGCAGAAGAAGCACCGGCUAACUACGUG